rnacentral:misc_RNA from 1 species
CGUGCGUCUGAAUGAAAAACGCGUCCGAAUUUCUUUUAAUAUUUUUGCUCAUAUUAUUAUAAAAAUUGCAACGUAUUUGUUUUUUAAUUUAUAGUCUGAGAAAUGUGUAUUUAUUCUAUGGUAUUGGUGUAUGUGAUGUGAUAAUGUGAUGUGCAAUUUCGUCUGAAAUGGAGACAAAUGCAAAUCAGAAGGUGUCGUGCAUAGUAAACUACGCGUACGACGCGUCGGAGCCAGACGAGCUAUCCAUUCGUCCGGGGGACGUGGUGCGGGACGUAGAGCGGCUGCCAGGCGGAUGGUGGCGCGGCGAGCUGCGCCAGCGCCGCGGCAUGUUCCCCGACAACUUCGUCUCCGUGCUUAACGACCAUGCUACUGGCAGGUCAUCGGUGCAGGGCCGGUGUCGAGCGGUGUUCAGCUACCAGCCUGCCAACCCUGAUGAGCUGCCUCUCUGCGUUGGAGACGUCCUCGACGUACUUGGGGAGGUCGAAGAAGGGUGGUGGCAGGGGCGGCGGCAGGGCCGCGUCGGCGUGUUCCCCUCCAACUUCGUAGUCAUGCUGGACGCGCAACCCGCGGCCGCCUUCGAGCCAGCGCCCGCGCUCCCACCCAAACCCGUGAAGGAGCAGUGCCGCGUGUUGUUCCCGUACACGGCGGUGAACGACGACGAGUUGACCCUGGCUGAAGGCGACAUCGUGAGCAUCGUGUCGAAGGACGCGCCCGACCGCGGCUGGUGGCGCGGCGAGCUGCACGGCCGCCAGGGACUGUUCCCGGACAACUUCGUGCAGAUCAUACCCGCCGUUGCACAAGAUGCAGAGGAGAAGAAACCAGAGCGACCGCCGAGCAAGACGUCCAACGCUGUCUACCCCAUACUCAACAAGUACUCGGAGAAAACCGCCUCCGUCAAAGAACUGACCACUUCUAAAAUAAGUUUGCACAAAGAGAACACAAUAAGCAAGGAGAGCAGCACACAAAGUACAGUCACGCACACAAACAAGAGCGAGUCGGAGAAGCUGAUACACAGCGAGACGGUCUCCGAUGGAACCUUAGACGGACAGAUAAAGAAACCUCCAGUGCCAUUGAAGAAGAGCCCUACACCCACAUCGGCCGUCACCGGGCUGUUCAGCGGGCUCAAGAGCAAGAUGCUGCCGAACGCUGACAAAGAGAAAGAGAAGUCCCCGGCGGCGGCGGCGUCGAGCGGCAGCAGCAGCGGCAGCGGCGGCGAGUGGGACCGGCCGGACGGCGCCGCGCAGGCGCGCCCCGCCAGCACCUUCGACCACGUCGAGCGGAACUCCAUACUCAACGACCCGCGCGCCGGCAGAGUGAAAGCACCAAGGCGACGGCCGCCCAGCCAAACACUCCGCGACGACACCCCACUACAAAUUGGACUCAGUAAUGGACAUGAAGACUUGCUUGACCCAGGCAACCCUGUUCCAGCUGAAAAAACUCUGACAGAGAAGGCGGAAGAGAUCAAGCCUCGUACUCGCGAGUGGGAGAAACACCGCGCGCCGUGGAUGGAGGAGCUGAAGCUGAACCAGGCCAAGAAGACCAGCUUCGGGGCCGAGGGCAAGUCGCGCUCCGUGAGCUCAGACGCCGGCGUCGCGGGCAAGACGACCACCGGCAGCACUGACCGAAUUCUAGACUGCGGCUUAGAAGAAAAACGGUCGACACAUUCAAUGGAAAUGUCCAAAAGCACGUCGUCUAUCAGCAGCCGGAUAUCAGUCCUGGAGAGCUUCGAUGAGACGAAGGUCCGCCACUCGCUGGAGUCCAAGAAGGAUGUGGCACCCCCGCCCCCCACCAGCGAGCCCCCCAGCAACAAGCCCACGGCACAGUCGCCCACCGCCGCGGGCCGCACGUUCACGACAAUGCUGGACGAGCUGAAGAAGCCGGCGCCGCCCGCCGCCACGGCGCGCACGCACAACGACAUCGACAAGUCCCCCCACAGGAGCGAGAGGACCACGCUCACGGCCGAGAAGCAAAGCGAGCUCACGAAGCUGUCAAGCGGGGUGUUGGACAAGACAAGUACUGUGGAGAGAAUGGAGAAGACGACCGAGGAGAGGAGCAUAGGGGAUAAAGUGAGCUCUCUGGAGAGGCGAGGUCACAAGGGCGACCGGAGUGAUGUGGAGGCGUUAGUCGCGCAGCUCAAUAAUAGGAUAACAAACUUGGAGAAGCUACUAGAAGUUCAAAAUGCGAAGUUCAACGCGGCCAUCGCCGAGCUGACCACCAAGUUGAACAUGGAGACGGAGAAGAGACAGGCUCUGCAGGCCGAGGUGGAGAAACUGGCGCACUGCGUCACCUCCGUGUAGGGAUACACCAAAUAUUCGCAGCACUCCUACAGCACUUUAGCACAUUAUGAUUCCAGAACACACCAUCUAAUUUUAUUUUAAGUUAUACCCGUCAUUUUCUUAUCCGCCGAAAAGAAAGGAGACGGGUAAUCUACAGGCAUAAAAUUUAUGGGACAUUCAAUUUUCGGCAGAAAUUUAAACAACACUCAAAAUUUUACAUUACCCAAUAACCCGAGAGUAAAGGUUAAGUUGGCAGCUUCUUAACACGCUCGUCCCGGCAAGAGCUGCGGGUUCAAGCCCCGUCCAAGUCAGAUUUUUCUUUCGAUUUAAUUUUAAAUUUGACAGCACACGUUUAACGCCCGAGUUAUUCAUUCAUUUAAAAAAUUACAAGCCGUCAAUCAUUCGUCCCUUUACUUUUGCGCGGAUAACAAUAUUAUAGGUGUAACUUAAAAUAAAUUUAGGUGUCUGCAGGAAUCAGCUUCCUCAUUAAAUAUAGCUUGUUUAGAAUAAUAACAGGACAGGGACAAAGUAUACAGUAUUGGUGCUGAACUAUCGAUAGAUAACCUUGAAAAUCAUCUAUACUGUCGAUAGUUUGUUGUCGAUAGUAGUGACUACUGCAAGAACUAUCUACAGUAUUGUUUUUUUUACUAUCGAUAGGCAACACUAUUAUAUAUAAUUAAAACACAUAAUACGGGUUCUUACCGCGUUUUAUUGUGUUAUUAUGUGUUUUAAUUAUGAUAAUAACCGCGUAAACUUAAAACAAUGUAUAACACUUUUAUACAAUCUAGUCACACCCCGGACACUACAUAGAAUAAUAUGUUUCUUACACAGACUGUACAGUCCGACCGACGGUAAAUUCCACUUGAUAUCAAUUCAGAAUCAUGGUCUGAAUCAUCCCUCUAAAGUUUUCAUUACGAUGUCACUAACACCCUGUAUAUAUCAUAAUGCUAUAUUUGAUGAGGUAUAUAAUCUGCUACAGUGUUACGAGUGGUCAGGGGCCUUAUUUUUGAAUCGCUCACCUUCAACUCGCGUGCGAAAAUGUAUACCUGUCUCAUCUUGCAAAUAGCAAGUUCUGAUGUGCUGCGUGAAAUAGGUAUAUUAUAUAUGUUCGAACGUGACUUGUAGGCGAGCGUUCAGAAAUAAGGCCUCAGGUUACAGAUGUAUUUUUAAUAAAGCUCGAUUCUAACAUGAUACCUCAAUAACACAAGGUCACGUCACAUUUUCGAAAAAAAAAAGGCUGUAUGUGGUGUAUUCUUCACUUGUAUUUUAUAUUUCUAUUUUACAUUCACAUUGGUUCUGAUUCCAGUACUCAGCAUCUAAUUUUAUUUUAAGUUAUACCAGUCAUUUUCUUAUCCGCCGAAAAGGAAAGGGACCGGUAAUCGACAGGCAUAAAAUUUAUGGAACACAUGACAAUUUUAGGUAGAAAAAAAUAAUAAUUAAAAAAAAUACACUUCCAGAAUGGUAUAUUGGUCAAUAACCCGACAGAAUUAGCAUUAGAAUAGAUAUAUAGAAUUAGCGAGAUGCCUAUUUUAUUCGUCCGGGUUAUUCAUUCAUUUUAAAAUUAACAGUUGUCAAUCAUCCGUCCGUCCUUUUCGGCGGAUAAGAAAAUUACGGGUAUAACUUAAAUUAAAUUAGGAGGUGUAUGCAGGAAUCGGGCCCAAUAUUUGUAUCAAGAUUAAUUUCUAAACGAUAAAGGGCACAUCAUAUAAAGUCUACGUUUGAUGACAUACACAAAAUCAUGUAUAUUUACCACCGGGGUAAGCAGAGAUUAUGAAAUUUAAUUUGCUUCGAUCCUACACUACAUACUGUGUAUGUACAGAUGCUAUAUUAUUUAUUUAUUUAUUGCUGUACUAUUGUACAUAGGAGUAGCCUACGCCCUACAGUUGAUUAAGGUGUGGGCACAGGAAGGACCAUCAGCCCAUCGGUGGCCCAUCAGUGGGACAUAUAUGGGCUGUUUGUAUAAUGUUCAUGAUCAAUGACCAUACAUCAUAUCCCAAACAUUAUCCCGUUUAUUCACAGGGCCGUUAACCUAACCUGUAGAUUUGACGGGUCGGUUUUUUACAGACGCGACUGCCUGUCUGACCUUCCAACUCGAGAAGGAAAUACCAGUCCAUUACAGGUUAUAUUAAUACAAGCCUCUUAAAAUAUAGUAUAGAUACUAAAUGAUGUAUCAAGCAAUUUGUGUAUUGAUUUACUUCUAACGUCAUGUGAGGGUCGAGCUUAAAAAUGGGUUUGAUCAAACCUAUAACACGAUUCAACAAGAGGAUUGCUUAUACGUAAAUAAGUGACGUUAUAUUUAACACAAUAGUUACAAUCAUGGUGUAAGAAAACCAGGUAUGCUCAAUCCUAUGACAAGCCGCCAUU